rnacentral:rRNA from 1 species
GACGAACGCUGGCGGCGUGCUUAACACAUGCAAGUCGAGCGGAAAGGCCCUUCGGGGUACUCGAGCGGCGAACGGGUGAGUAACACGUGAGUAAUCUGCCCUUGGCUUUGGGAUAACUACCGGAAACGGUGGCUAAUACCGGAUACGACAACCGUCUGCAUGGGCUGGUUGUGGAAAGUUUUUUCGGCCAGGGAUGUGCUCGCGGCCUAUCAGCUUGUUGGUGGGGUAAUGGCCUACCAAGGCUUCGACGGGUAGCCGGCCUGAGAGGGUGACCAGCCACACUGGGACUGAGACACGGCCCAGACUCCUACGGGAGGCAGCAGUGGGGAAUAUUGGACAAUGGGCGGAAGCCUGAUCCAGCAACGCCGCGUGAGGGAUGACGGCCGUCGGGUUGUAAACCUCUUUCAGUACCGACGAAGCGCCGAUGAUGGUGGUGACGGUAGGUACAGAAGAAGCACCGGCCAACUACGUG